UCAGCAUUUAACUCAGAUGCUGAACGUGAAGGAUAACGUUGCGUCAGCAACGGCCCGAAGGGCGAGGCAAAGCCGAGUCAUCCUGCACGACCUACCA
rnacentral:sRNA from 1 species